rnacentral:rRNA from 1 species
GAUGAACGCUGGCGGCGUGCCUAAUACAUGCAAGUCGAGCGAACGGACGAGGAGCUUGCUUCUCUGAUGUUAGCGGCGGACGGGUGAGUAACACGUGGAUAACCUACCUAUAAGACUGGGAUAACUUCGGGAAACCGUAGCUAAUACCGGAUAAUAUAUUGAACCGCAUGGUUCAAUAGUGAAAGACGGUCUUGCUGUCACUUAUAGAUGGAUCCGCGCUGCAUUAGCUAGUUGGUAAGGUAACGGCUUACCAAGGCAACGAUGCAUAGCCGACCUGAGAGGGCGAUCGGCCACACUGGAACUGAGACACGGUCCAGACUCCUACGGGAGGCAGCAGUAGGGAAUCUUCCGCAAUGGGCGAAAGCCUGACGGAGCAACGCCGCGUGAGUGAUGAAGGUCUUCGGAUCGUAAAACUCUGUUAUUAGGGAAGAACAUAUGUGUAAGUAACUGUGCACAUCUUGACGGUACCUAAUCAGAAAGCCACGGCUAACUACGUG